rnacentral:rRNA from 1 species
CCCUACGGGGUGCGCAGGCGGAAUGAUAAGUCAGUGGUGAAAUCCUACGGCUCAACUGUAGAACUGCCAUUGAUACUGUCGUUCUUGAGUACACUUGGAGUGGGCGGAAUGUGUCAUGUAGCGGUGAAAUGCUUAGAUAUGACACAGAACACCGAUCGCGAAGGCAGCUCACUAAAUUGUAACUGACGCUCAGGCACGAAAGCGUGGGGAUCAAUCA